GUUUGGUUGUUUUGGGGUUUUUUUUAUUUGUUUUUCUUUAUAGGAUACAAUCUAUAGACCACUAUAGAAUGCGUCCUUUUUUCCACUGAUCAUCAGUGUGACAGGUGCCGGAGGUCUGCCUUGGCAGAAUUGUCAUGGCAAACUCCUAUUGCUACUAUAAUUAGCCUUAUUAUUACGUUUUUUGCUGUUUUGCCAUAGCUGUUUGCCAUUGCUGUUUGCCAGUUUGCCAUAAAUGUUUGCCAGUGUUUUGCCCAAUGUUUGCCAUUGCGGUCAUUUGCCCGACAAGGCUAGGUCGCCGACUAGCUUUGGCCACCAACGGCACCUACCUCCAAACUCGGAUACUCUGCCGUUAAA